rnacentral:lncRNA from 1 species
AUGAAGAAUUCUACAUCAUUUUCUUUAGGGAGUGAAGUGAGAUUUUGCUGGUGGAAAAACGAAACAAUUAUUCUGCGUGUGUGUGUGUGUGUGUGUGUGUGUGUGUGUGUGUGUAAAAUCUACCUUCUCUCUCUUGCCUUUUUAAUUUGGCUGGUAAAAUUAAGUGGGAAAAAGAUUCCUGUGAAUUGCUACCAAUAUAAAUAUAAUUCUUGGGAAAAGUCAAAUUCCACUAUAUACAACCCCUAUUCUCCCCCCUCCCCCAGCUCAUCAUCUCCCAUCCCUACCCCCUCCUGCCAUAUCUUGAUUUAUGUUAAGCAAUUUUAGUGCCACAUUUGUUUUCAGGUCUGUAGGGAUCAGAAUUUUUACUAAAAUUUGGAAAAAUACUCACAUUUUAAUUUGCCUUUUAGAUUCUUUGAGUUUUAAUUUAUAGGACAGAAAGCUUUUACACGUAGCAUAUUCCCCUAUGGUUAACCAAAGCAAAUCCACAGUACUUACCACUUCAAGGAAGGUUGAUAAGGGAUGUUCACCCCUUCCGCUCCACCCCCUUUAAAAUGUUUCUUGCUUCUGUAGAGAUUCCAUUUUAAAGACUAGACUGUGAUGGAACUUAUCAUAAUAGUAUACAAUUCUUCUUUCCAGUGACUGUUCAUUGUUCUGCAUGUGAUAGUGAAGGCAUUAAAGAUAAAAAGCAAGCUUUUAAAGUACUGUUCUCUAUAAAAAGUAAUAGGAGGCAUUUCAUCUUUGUUCACAUAAUUUUUUUAAGCACACAUUUUAUCAUUGAGAUUGUUUACACCCCCACCAAUCUGAUCAGAAAUCAUGUUUGAUUUUGAUAGAAAAGUUCAAUAGCCUGGUGGAAUAGUAUAUUGGGUACAAGUGGUCCAAGAGACUAAAAUACUGAAUCCUGAAAGAAACUGGUUUAUGCACUAAACGUUUUGUGCCUUGGUCAAAAAUUAACAUGAUUUCUGUAUAAAAGGAAGAAAAAAAACCCCAAUGUUUAUUCAUGCUACUUUUCAUCUGUAUUUUGUGUUAUCCCAAGAUUACUGAAUUUGUUCUUUAAAGGAAAUUUGAUUCAAUUAAGGUUUACUGUAAACAUUUGCUGUCAUACUGACAGUUAUGUCAUUGCCAGAGAUUUCAGUAAUUAAAGUAAGAAAUAGAAGCUAAGGUUAUUUUCCUUAUUGUUAAAAACUAAUGUCCUUAAAACCAGAAUAUUACAGUUUUUGUGCUUUUGUAAAUUGGAUGUCUUAAGCUGAGUGCAGUUUAGGGGAUCCUUUGUAAUUCCAGGAAGGUACUGCUUUCUCAACACUGUGAUCUGAUCUGUGACAAAUCUGUACUAUACACUCUGUAAAUGGCUAACAAGUCAAUCGCAAACAAACUGAAUGUACAAAUCUUAGUGCUGGUGCUGAAAUCUCUUCAGAAGAGUCAUCAUGAUUUAAAAGUUUGUUUAAAAAAAUUUUUUUUUCCACAUUAAGUGUCAAUCAAAACUGAAGAUGAAACACUAAUGAAUGUUGAAUUUUCAUGCUUUAGGUGUACCUCCUUUUUAGAUUUUAUUUUUCAAUUUGUUCUCUGCUAUUUUUACCAUACUGUGUCAUUUAAAUUUCCUACAUGCUAACUUUUCAUUUGUGCGAUUAAAAUAAAAUUGCAAUAUAUACAUGUUGCA